CUAGUAGUGUGUCCCAAAAUUCUUGUCUUAGAUUUGUCUAGAUAUGGAUGUAUCUAAUACUAAAAUGUGACUUGAUACAUUUGUAUCUAGACAAAUCUAAGACAAGAAUUUUGGGACAGAGGGAGUACUUU
rfam:Triticum aestivum genome assembly, contig: Triticum_aestivum_CS42_TGACv1_scaffold_220949_3B